UACGAAGGGGGCUAGCGUUGCUCGGAAUGACUGGGCGUAAAGGGCGCGUAGGCGGAUGGUACAGUCAGAUGUGAAAUUCCCGGGCUCAACCUGGGGGCUGCAUUUGAUACGUGCUGUCUUGAGUUCGGAAGAGGGUCGUGGAAUUCCCAGUGUAGAGGUGAAAUUCGUAGAUAUUGGGAAGAACACCGGUGGCGAAGGCGGCGACCUGGUCCGAUACUGACGCUGAGGCGCGAAAGCGUGGGGAGCAAACAGG
rnacentral:rRNA from 1 species